rnacentral:rRNA from 1 species
AGAGCGAACGCUGGCGGCAGGCUUAACACAUGCAAGUCGAACGAACUCUUCGGAGUUAGUGGCGGACGGGUGAGUAACACGUGGGAACGUGCCUUUUGGUUCGGAAUAGCUCCUGGAAACGGGUGGUAAUGCCGAAUGUGCCCUUCGGGGGAAAGAUUUAUCGCCAUUAGAGCGGCCCGCGUCUGAUUAGCUAGUUGGUGAGGUAAAGGCUCACCAAGGCUACGAUCAGUAGCUGGUCUGAGAGGAUGACCAGCCACAUUGGGACUGAGACACGGCCAAACUCCUACGGGAGGCAGCAGUGGGGAAUCUUGCGCAAUGGGCGAAAGCCUGACGCAGCCAUGCGCGUGUAUGAUGAAGGUCUUAGGAUUGAAAAUACUUCACCGUGAAGAUAAUGACUAGUAGACCGAAGAAGAAAGCCCCGGCUAAACUUCGUAGCCAGCAGCGUC